ACUGACUCAUUCUUAGAGCCCCUUCCCUUGGAAUAUUAAUGGAUACAAUAGUAAUUAUUCAUGGUUCUGCGUAACAGAGAAGACCCACUUAUGUGUAUGCCUUUAUCAUUGCUCCUAGAUAGUGUGAACUACCUACCACCUUGCAUUAAUAUGUAAAACACUAAUUGCCCAUAGUCCCACUCAUUAGUCUAGGAUGUCCUCUUUGCCAUUGCUGCUGAGUUCUGACUACCCAAGUUUCCUUCUCUUAAACAGUUGAUAUGCAUAAUUGCAUAUAUUCAUGGUUCUGUGCAAUAAAAAUGGAUUCUCACCCCAUCCCACCUUCUGUGGGAUGUUGCUAACGAGUGCAGAUUAUUCAAUAACAGCUCUUGAACAGUUAAUUUGCACAGUUGCAAUUGUCCAGAGUCCUGUCCAUUAGAAAGGGACUCUGUAUCCUAUUUGCACGCUACAAUGUGGGCUGAUCACCCAAGGACUCUUCUUGUGCAUUGAUGUUCAUAAUUGUAUUUGUCCACGAUCUUGUGCACUAACCCUUCCACUCCCUUUGUAUUCCAGCAGGGGACCCUUACUACUCAAGACCUCUGUACUAGGACAGUUUAUGUGCACAAUCCUAAUUGAUUAGAACUGAGUCUUUUAUAUCAAGGUCCCUGCAUCAUCUUUGCUUUACAUCAAGAGGGUGCUGGUUACCUAAUGCCCCUCCUCCAGAAAUUAUUGAUGUGCAAAAUGCAAUUUCCCUAUCUGCUGUUAGUCUGGGGUCUCAUCCCCUCAUAUUCCUUUUGUCUUACAGCAGGGGGUACUUGGGACUGUUAAUGCGCAUAAUUGCAAUUAUGGUCUUUUCCAUUAAAUUAAGAUCCCAACUGCUCACACCCUCUUAGCAUUACAGUAGAGGGUGCUAAUCACAAGGACAUUUCUUUUGUACUGUUAAUGUGCUACUUGCAUUUGUCCCUCUUCCUGUGCACUAAAGACCCCACUCACUUCCCUAGUGUUCAGCAGUGGAUGACCUCUAGUCAAGACCUUUGCACUAGGAUAGUUAAUGUGAACCAUGGCAACUGAUCACAACAAUGUCUUUCAGAUCAGAUCCAUUUUAUCCUCCUUGUUUUACAGCAAGGGAUAUUAAUUACCUAUGUUACCUUUCCCUGGGACUAUGAAUGUGCAAAAUUCCAAUGUUCAUGGUCUCUCCCUUUAAACCUAUAUUCUACCCCUUUUACAUUAUAGAAAGGGAUGCUGGAAACCCAGAGUCCUUCUCUUGGGACUCUUAAUGUGUAUUUCUAAUUAUCCAUGACUCUUAAUGUGCAUAUUUUCAAUUGCCUAAUUGAUUUCAAUUGUCUAAGACAUUUCAAAUGUCUAAUUGAUUAGAACUGAGUCUUUUAUAUCAAGCUAAUAUCUAGCUUUUAUAUCAAGCUAAUAUCUUGACUUCUCAGCAUCAUAGAAGGGGGUACUGAUUUCCUAAAGUCUUUCUUGAAUUUCUAUUAUGCAAAAUUGCCCUGAGGCCGGGUGUGGUGGCUCACACCUGUAAUCCCAGCACUUUGGGAGGCUGAGGUGGGAAGAUCCCUUACUGCCAGGAGUUUGAGACCAGCCUGGCCAACAUUAAAAAAAAAAAAAAGUAAGACAAUUGCCCUGGAAUCCCAUCCCCCUCACACCUCCUUGGCAAAGCAGCAGGAGUGCUAACUAGCUAGUGCUUCUUCUCUUAUACUGCUUAAAUGCGCAUAAUUAGCAGUAGUUGAUGUGCCCCUAUGUUAGAGUAGAAUCCCGCUUCCUUGCUCCAUUUGCAUUACUGCAGGAGCUUCUAACUAGCCUGAAUUCACUCUCUUGGACUGUUAAUGUGCAUACUUAUAUUUGCUGCUGUACUUUUUUACCAUGUAAGGACCCCACCCACUGUAUUUACAUCCCAGCUGGAAGUACCUACUACUUAAGACCCUUAGACUAGUAAAGUUAGCGUGCAUAAUCUUAGGUGUUAUAUACACAUUUUCAGUUGCAUACAGUUGUGCCUUUUAUCAGGACUCCUGUACUUAUCAAAGCAGAGAGUGCUAAUCAAUAUUAAGCCCUUCUCUUCGAACUGUAGAUGGCAUGUAAUUGCAGUUGUCAAUGGUCCUUCAAUUAGACUUGGGUUUCUGACCUAUCACACCCUCUUUGCUUUAUUGCAUGGGGUACUAUUCACUUAAGGCCCCUUUCUCAAACUGUUAAUGUGCCUAAUGACAAUUACAUCAGUAUCCUUCCUUUUGAAGGACAGCAUGGUUGGUGACACCUAAGGCCCCAUUUCUUGGCCUCCCAAUAUGUGUGAUUGUAUUUGUCGAGGUUGCUAUGCACUAGAGAAGGAAAGUGCUCCCCUCAUCCCCACUUUUCCCUUCCAGCAGGAAGUGCCCACCCCAUAAGACCCUUUUAUUUGGAGAGUCUAGGUGCACAAUUGUAAGUGACCACAAGCAUGCAUCUUGGACAUUUAUGUGCGUAAUCGCACACUGCUCAUUCCAUGUGAAUAAGGUCCUACUCUCCGACCCCUUUUGCAAUACAGAAGGGUUGCUGAUAACGCAGUCCCCUUUUCUUGGCAUGUUGUGUGUGAUUAUAAUCGUCUGGGAUCCUAUGCACUAGAAAAGGAGGGUCCUCUCCACAUACCUCAGUCUCACCUUUCCCUUCCAGCAGGGAGUGCCCACUCCAUAAGACUCUCACAUUUGGACAGUCAAGGUGCGUAAUUGUUAAGUGAACACAACCAUGCACCUUAGACAUGGAUUUGCAUAACUACACACAGCUCAACCUAUCUGAAUAAAAUCCUACUCUCAGACCCCUUUUGCAGUACAGCAGGGGUGCUGAUCACCAAGGCCCUUUUUCCUGGCCUGGUAUGCGUGUGAUUAUGUUUGUCCCGGUUCCUGUGUAUUAGACAUGGAAGCCUCCCCUGCCACACUCCACCCCCAAUCUUCCUUUCCCUUCCGGCAGGGAGUGCCCUCUCCAUAAGACGCUUACGUUUGGACAAUCAAGGUGCACAGUUGUAAGUGACCACAGGCAUACACCUUGGACAUUAAUGUGCAUAACCACUUUGCCCAUUCCAUCUGAAUAAGGUCCUACUCUCAGACCCCUUUUGCAGUACAGCAGGGGUGCUGAUCACCAAGGCCCCUUUUCUUGGCCUGUUAUGUGCGUGAUUAUAUUUGUCUGGGUUCCUGUGUAUUAGACAAGGAAGCCUUCCCCCCGCCCCCACCCCCACUCCCAGUCUUCCUUUCCCUUCCAGCAGGGAGUGCCCCCUCCAUAAGAUCAUUACAUUUGGACAAUCAAGGUGCACAAUUAUAAGUGACCACAGCCAUGCACCUUGGACAUUAUUGGACAUUAAUGUGCGUAACUGCACAUGGCCCAUCCCAUCUGAAUAAGGUCCUACUCUCAGAUGCCCUUUGCAGUACAGCAGGGGUACUGAAUCACCAAGGCCCUUUUUCUUGGCCUGUUAUGUGUGUGAUUAUAUUUAUCCCAGUUUCUGUGUAAUAGACAUGAAAGCCUCCCCUGCCACACCCCACCUCCAAUCUUCCUUUCCCUUCCACCAGGGAGUGUCCACUCCAUAUACCCUUACAUUUGGACAAUCAAGGUGCACAAUUGUAAGUGAGCAUAGGCACUCACCUUGGACAUGAAUGUGCAUAACUGCACAUGGCCCAUCCCAUCUGAAUAAGGUCCUACUCUCAGACCCUUUUUGCAGUACAGCAGGGGUGCUGAUCACCAAGGCCCCUUUUCCUGGCCUGUUAUGUGUGUGAUUAUAUUUGUUCCAGUUCCUGUGUAAUAGACAUGGAAGCCUCCCCUGCCACACUCCACCCCCAAUCUUCCUUUCCCUUCUGGCAGGAAGUACCCGCUCCAUAAGACCCUUACAUUUGGACAGUCAAGGUGCACAAUUGUAUGUGACCACAACCAUGCACCUUGGACAUAAAUGUGUGUAACUGCACAUGGCCCAUCCCAUCUGAAUAAGGUCCUACUCUCAGACCCCUUUUGCAGUACAGUAGGUGUGCUGAUAACCAAGGCCCCUCUUCCUGGCCUGUUAACGUAUGUGAUUAUAUUUGUCUGGGUUCCAGUGUAUAAGACAUGGAAGCCUCCCCUGCCCCACCCCACCCUCAAUCUUCCUUUCCCUUCUGGCAGGGAGUGCCAGCUCCAUAAGAACCUUACAUUUGGACAGUCAAGGUGCACAAUUCUAAGUGACCGCAGCCAUGCACCUUGGUCAAUAAUGUGUGUAACUGCACACGGCCUAUCUCAUCUGAAUAAGGCCUUACUCUCAGACCCCUUUUGCAGUACAGCAGGGGUGCUGAUAACCAAGGCCCAUUUUCCUGGCCUGUUAUGUGUGUGAUUAUAUUUGUCCAGGUUUCUGUGUACUAGACAAGGAAGCCUCCUCUGCCCCAUCCCAUCUACGCAUAAUCUUUCUUUUCCUCCCAGCAGGGAGUGCUCACUCCAUAAGACCCUUACAUUUGGACAAUCAAGGUGCACAAUUGUAAGUGACCACAACCAUGCAUCUUGGAAAUUUAUGUGCAUAACUGCACAUGGCUUAUCCUAUUUGAAUAAAGUCCUACUCUCAGACCCCCUUUGCAGUAUAGCUGGGGUGCUGAUCACUGAGGCCUCUUUGCUUGGCUUGUCUAUAUUCUUGUGUACUAGAUAAGGGCACCUUCUCAUGGACUCCCUUUGCUUUUCAACAAGGAGUACCCACUACUUUUUAAGAUUCUUAUAUUUGUCCAAAGUACAUGGUUUUAAUUGACCACAACAAUGUCCCUUGGACAUUAAUGUAUGUAAUCACCACAUGGUUCAUCCUAAUUAAACAAAGUUCUACCUUCUCACCCUCCAUUUGCAGUAUACCAGGGUUGCUGACCCCCUAAGUCCCCUUUUCUUGGCUUGUUGACAUGCAUAAUUGCAUUUAUGUUGGUUCUUGUGCCCUAGACAAGGAUGCCCCACCUCUUUUCAAUAGUGGGUGCCCACUCCUUAUGAUCUUUACAUUUGAACAGUUAAUGUGAAUAAUUGCAGUUGUCCACAACCCUAUCACUUCUAGGACCAUUAUACCUCUUUUGCAUUACUGUGGGGUAUACUGUUUCCCUCCAAGGCCCCUUCUGGUGGACUAUCAACAUAUAAUUGAAAUUUUCUUUUGUCUUUGUCAGUAGAUUAAGGUCAUACCCCAUCACCUUUCCUUUGUAGUACAACAGGGUGUCCUGAUCAACCAAAGUCCUGUUGUUUUGGACUGUUAAUAUGUGCAAUUACAUUUGCUCCUGAUCUGUGCACUAGAUAAGGAUCCUACCUACUUUCUUAGUGUUUUUAGCAGGUAGUGCCCACUACUCAAGACUGUCACUUGGAAUGUUCAUGUGCACAAACUCAAUUCUCUAAGCAUGUUCCUGUACCACCUUUGCUUUAGAGCAGGGGGAUGAUAUUCACUAAGUGCCCCUUCUUUUGGACUUAAUAUGCAUUAAUGCAAUUGUCCACCUCUUCUUUUAGACUAAGAGUUGAUCUCCACAUAUUCCCCUUGCAUCAGGGGCAUGUUAAUUAUGAAUGAACCCUUUUCUUUUAAUAUUAAUGUCAUAAUUGUAUUUGUGGACCUGUGUAGGAGAAAAAGACCCUAUGUUCCUCCCAUUACCCUUUGGAUUGCUGCUGAGAAGUGUUAACUACUCAUAAUCUCAGCUCUUGGACAAUUAAUAGCAUUAAUAACAAUUAUCAAGGGCACUGAUCAUUAGAUAAGACUCCUGCUUCCUCGUUGCUUACAUCGGGGGUACUGACCCACUAAGGCCCCUUGUACUGUUAAUGUGAAUAUUUGCAAUUAUAUAUGUCUCCUUCUGGUAGAGUGGGAUAUUAUGCCCUAGUAUCCCCUUUGCAUUACUGCAGGGGCUGCUGACUACUCAAAACUUCUCCUGGGACUGUUAAUAGGCACAAUGGCAGUUAUCAAUGGUUUUCUCCCUCCCUGACCUUGUUAAGCAAGCGCCCCACCCCACCCUUAGUUUCCCAUGGCAUAAUAAAGUAUAAGCAUUGGAGUAUUCCAUGCACUUGUCUAUCAAACAGUGGUCCAUACUCCCAACCCUUUUGCAUUGCGCCAGUGUGUAAAAUCACAGGUAGCCAUGGUGUCAUGCUUUAUAUACGAAGUCUUCCCUCUCUCUGCCCCUUGUGUGCCCUUGGCCCCUUUUUACAGACUAUUGCUCACAAUCUCAGGUGUCCAUAUUUGCAGCUAUUAGGUAAGAUUGUGCUGUCUCCCUCUUCCCUUCCCUCUGCCCUGCCCCUUUUGCCUCUUUGCUGGGUAAUGUUGACCAGACAAGGCCCUUUCUCUUGGACUUAAACAAUUCUCAGUUGCACUUUCCUUGGUCCCACCCAUUAUACAUGAACCCCUCUACUUCCUUUCGCAUUGCUUCUGAGUAUGCUGACUACCCAAAGCCCCUUCUGUGUUAUUAAUAAACACAGUACUGAUUGUCCCAUUUUUCAGCCCAUCAGUCCAAGAUCUCCCUACCACUUUGGUGUGUUGGUGCAGUGUUGACUAUGAAAAGCAGGCCUGAACUAGGUGGAUAAGCCUUCACUCAUUUUCUUUCAUUUAUUAAUGAUCCUAGUUUCAAUUAUUGUCAGAUUCUGGGGACAAGAACCAUUCUUGCCCACCUGUGUUACUGCUUUACUGUGCAAAAUACUGAAGGCAAGUCAGACCCAGGGAGCUGGAUUGCCAUCCUUUAUUUUGUGUUUCCAGUGUACACUAUAAAAUUGUCUCCCCAGGAAGGAAGGUUGGCACUUUCUCUGCAUUCUUCUUUCCAGAGCAGAUUGCCUGGUUAAGAAUCUCUUGUUGUCCCCUUUGUAUAUUGUUAUUGUAAAGUGCCAAAUGCCAGGAUACAGCCAGAAAAAUUGCUUAUUAUUAUUAAAAAAAUUUUUUUAAGAAAGACAUCUGGAUUGUAGGGUGGACUCGAUAACCUGGUCAUUAUUUUUUUGAAGCCAAAAUAUCCAUUUAUACUAUGUACCUGGUGACCAGUGUCUCUCAUUUUAACUGAGGGUGGUGGGUCUGUGGAUAGAACACUGACUCUUGCUAUUUUAAUAUCAAAGAUAUUCUAGAGUGGAACUCUUAAGACCAGUAUCUUUGUGUGGGCUUUACCAGCAUUCACUUUUAGAAAAACUACCUAAAUUUUAUAAUCCUUUAAUUUCUUCAUCUGGAGCACCUGCCCCUACUUAUUUCAAGAAGAUUGCAGUAAAACGAUUAAAUGAGGGAACAUAUGCAGAGGUGCUUUUAAAAAGCAUAUGCCACCUUUUUUAUUAAUUAUUAUAUAAAAUGAAGCAUUUAAUUAUAGUAAUAAUUUGAAGUAGUUUGAAGUACCACACUGAGGUGAGGACUUAAAAAUGAUAAGACGAGUUCCCUAUUUUAUAAGAAAAAUAAGCCAAAAUUAAAUAUUCUUUUGGAUAUAAAUUUCAACAGUGAGAUAGCUGCCUAGUGGAAAUGAAUAAUAUCCCAGCCACUAGUGUACAGGGUGUUUUGUGGCACAGGAUUAUGUAAUAUGGAACUGCUCAAGCAAAUAACUAGUCAUCACAACAGCAGUUCUUUGUAAUAACUGAAAAAGAAUAUUGUUUCUCGGAGAAGGAUGUCAAAAGAUCGGCCCAGCUCAGGGAGCAGUUUGCCCUACUAGCUCCUCGGACAGCUGUAAAGAAGAGUCUCUGGCUCUUUAGAAUACUGAUCCCAUUGAAGAUACCACGCUGCAUGUGUCCUUAGUAGUCAUGUCUCCUUAGGCUCCUCUUGGUAAUUCUGAGCAUGUGAGACCUGAGGACUGCAAACAGCUAUAAGAGGCUCCAAAUUAAUCAUAUCUUUCCCUUUGAGAAUCUGGCCAAGCUCCAGCUAAUCUACUUGGAUGGGUUGCCAGCUAUCUGGAGAAAAAGAUCUUCCUCAGAAGAAUAGGCUUGUUGUUUUACAGUGUUAGUGAUCCAUUCCCUUUGACGAUCCCUAGGUGGAGAUGGGGCAUGAGGAUCCUCCAGGGGAAAAGCUCACUACCACUGGGCAACAACCCUAGGUCAGGAGGUUCUGUCAAGAUACUUUCCUGGUCCCAGAUAGGAAGAUAAAGUCUCAAAAACAACCACCACACGUCAAGCUCUUCAUUGUUCCUAUCUGCCAAAUCAUUAUACUUCCUACAAGCAGUGCAGAGAGCUGAGUCUUCAGCAGGUCCAAGAAAUUUGAACACACUGAAGGAAGUCAGCCUUCCCACCUGAAGAUCAACAUGCCUGGCACUCUAGCACUUGAGGAUAGCUGAAUGAAUGUGUAUUUCUUUGUCUCUUUCUUUCUUGUCUUUGCUCUUUGUUCUCUAUCUAAAGUGUGUCUUACCCAUUUCCAUGUUUCUCUUGCUAAUUUCUUUCGUGUGUGCCUUUGCCUCAUUUUCUCUUUUUGUUCACAAGAGUGGUCUGUGUCUUGUCUUAGACAUAUCUCUCAUUUUUCAUUUUGUUGCUAUUUCUCUUUGCUCUCCUAGAUGUGGCUCUUCUUUCACGCUUUAUUUCAUGUCUCCUUUUUGGGUCACAUGCUGUGUGCUUUUUGUCCUUUUCUUGUUCUGUCUACCUCUCCUUUCUCUGCCUACCUCUCUUUUCUCUUUGUGAACUGUGAUUAUUUGUUACCCCUUCCCCUUCUCGUUCGUUUUAAAUUUCACCUUUUUUCUGAGUCUGGCCUCCUUUCUGCUGUUUCUACUUUUUAUCUCACAUUUCUCAUUUCUGCAUUUCCUUUCUGCCUCUCUUGGGCUAUUCUCUCUCUCCUCCCCUGCGUGCCUCAGCAUCUCUUGCUGUUUGUGAUUUUCUAUUUCAGUAUUAAUCUCUGUUGGCUUGUAUUUGUUCUCUGCUUCUUCCCUUUCUACUCACCUUUGAGUAUUUCAGCCUCUUCAUGAAUCUAUCUCCCUCUCUUUGAUUUCAUGUAAUCUCUCCUUAAAUAUUUCUUUGCAUAUGUGGGCAAGUGUACGUGUGUGUGUGUCAUGUGUGGCAGAGGGGCUUCCUAACCCCUGCCUGAUAGGUGCAGAACGUCGGCUAUCAGAGCAAGCAUUGUGGAGCGGUUCCUUAUGCCAGGCUGCCAUGUGAGAUGAUCCAAGACCAAAACAAGGCCCUAGACUGCAGUAAAACCCAGAACUCAAGUAGGGCAGAAGGUGGAAGGCUCAUAUGGAUAGAAGGCCCAAAGUAUAAGACAGAUGGUUUGAGACUUGAGACCCGAGGACUAAGAUGGAAAGCCCAUGUUCCAAGAUAGAUAGAAGCCUCAGGCCUGAAACCAACAAAAGCCUCAAGAGCCAAGAAAACAGAGGGUGGCCUGAAUUGGACCGAAGGCCUGAGUUGGAUGGAAGUCUCAAGGCUUGAGUUAGAAGUCUUAAGACCUGGGACAGGACACAUGGAAGGCCUAAGAACUGAGACUUGUGACACAAGGCCAACGACCUAAGAUUAGCCCAGGGUUGUAGCUGGAAGACCUACAACCCAAGGAUGGAAGGCCCCUGUCACAAAGCCUACCUAGAUGGAUAGAGGACCCAAGCGAAAAAGUUUCUGGCAUCACUACCACUACUGAUUAAACAAGAAUAAGAGAACAUUUUAUCAUCAUCUGCUUUAUUCACAUAAAUGAAGUUGUGAUGAAUAAAUCUGCUUUUAUGCAGACACAAGGAAUUAAGUGGCUUCGUCAUUGUCCUUCUACCUCAAAGAUAAUUUAUUCCAAAAGCUAAGAUAAAUGGAAGACUCUUGAACUUGUGAACUGAUGUGAAAUGCAGAAUCUCUUUUGAGUCUUUGCUGUUUGGAAGAUUGAAAAAUAUUGUUCAGCAUGGGUGACCACCAGAAAGUAAUCUUAAGCCAUCUAGAUGUCACAAUUGAAACAAACUGGGGAGUUGGUUGCUAUUGUAAAAUAAAAUAUACUGUUUUGAAAACUUUGUAUUUUGAUGUGACAAUUUCUAACUCACUGUCCCUAA
rnacentral:lncRNA from 1 species